rnacentral:rRNA from 1 species
GAUGAACGCUGGCGGCGUGCCUAAUACAUGCAAGUCGAGCGAACAGAUGCGGAGCUUGCUCCUCUGUCGUUUGCGGCGGACGUGUGAGUAACACGUGGAUAACCUACCUAUCAGACUGGGAUAACUUCGGGAAAGCGGCGCUAAUACCGGAUAAUCUAUUUACCCGCAUGGUUCGAUAGUGAAAGACGGUUUUGCUGUUGCUCCUACGUCGAUCCGCGCCGUUUUAGGUAGUAGGUCAGGCAACGGCUUACCCAGGCAACGAUGCGUAGCCGACCGGCGAGGGUGGUAGGCCGCACUGGAGCUGGGACGCGGACCAGAGUCCUAAGGGAGGGAGCAGUAGGGAAUCGGCCGCAACGGGCGAAAGCCUGACGGAGCAACGCCGCGUGAGUGAUGAAGGUGCUCGGAUCGUAAAACUCUGCUAUGAGUGGAGAACAACUGUGUAAGUAACUGAGCCGGUCUUGACGGUACCUAAAGAAGAAGCCACGGCUAACUACGUG